rnacentral:lncRNA from 1 species
CGAAGUAUGCAUUCGAGGGCCAUGAAUCGUUUGUUUGUCGAGUUCGCCUCCGGCAGCGGUGGCUGCUGCCACGGCACCGAGCUAGGGGCUGCGGCAGUGCUCUGCACCUCUCUUCCAUCUCCCUUCCUCUGCUCCUCUCCAUGGUAGACUGCGCCGACGCCGUUGAAAGCUCUAGUUUGGUUUUGGUAAACUGAUGAAAUCCUAUGUGCUAACCUAUUGCUCUAAGUGUUCAUGAGAUAUGAAAAGCACACUCCAAGUGGUGAGCAACAUGGGUAAUGAUCAUGAUAGUGAUGGUGGAACCAAGGUGAUCAAGUGCUCGGGCUUGGAAAAAAAGAAAGAGAAAAACAAAAAGCUCAAGUCAAAGGUAUAAUUAGUUAGGAGCAUUUUGGUUUGCACUCAAGACACCAUAAAGUGUGAGUGAUUUAGAAUUCAUGGCCGUACUAUGAAGAGGAGUGAAACUCGUAUCGAAAUACAGUUACCAAAGUGCCACUAUAUGUUCUAGACCAUUGCAUAUGCAUUAGGAUCUAGUGAGUGUGCCAACUCCUUUGAGAAAAUGCUAACACACUUACACAUGAUGGUUUACACUUGGUGGUGUCGGCGUUUUUGUGGAAAUGAAGUGCCUAUUUUCUAUUACGCCGG